rnacentral:rRNA from 1 species
GCAUAUCAAUAAGCGGAGGAAAAGAAACUAACAAGGAUUCCCCUAGUAACUGCGAGUGAAGCGGGAACAGCUCAAAUUUGAAAUCUCCGCGGUCCCCGCGGCGAAUUGUAGUUUCAAGAGGCGUUUUCGGUGGCGGCCUUGGCUCAAGUCCCUUGGAACAGGGUGUCAUAGAGGGUGAGAACCCCGUGAAGCCUUGGCUUGCUGCUAUGUGAUACGCUUUCAAAGAGUCGGGUUGUUUGGGAUUGCAGCCCUAAUCGGGAGGUAAAUUUCUUCUAAAGCUAAAUAUUGGCGAGAGACCGAUAGCGAACAAGUACCGUGAGGGAAAGAUGAAAAGAACUUUGAAAAGAGAGUUAAACAGUACGUGAAAUUGUCAAAAGGGAAAGGCUUGAAACCAGUCAUGCUGUCUAGAAUUCAGCAGGCCACCCCGGCCUGUCCACUUUCCAGAUGGCAGGUCAACGUCAGUUUUCUUCGUGUCGAAAGGCCAUGGGAAGGUAGCGAGCCUUCGGGCGCGUGUUAUAGCCCCUGGCUCUGGCAUGUGGGGAGACUGAGGACCGCAGGGCGCACUGGGUCAACCGGUCAGGCGAAUACCUUUUGAUGGACUGCACGCAGGCCAUUAGAAGGCAUAAACCUUUGCCGGGUACACCUCUCCGUCCCUUAGGACGUUGACGAAAUGGUUUUAAACCACCCGUCUUG